CGACUUGCAGGGAGUGUCAGGCUGGACUCCUGUAUAUAAUCCCUGCCUCUCUUUCCCCUCCAUACCCCACAGACCCACCUAAGGAACACUCUCCUCCAAACAGUCUCCCAGUCUCUUUCAGGAUGGCGUGUGACCUUAAACCCGGUGAGAUAGCCUUGGGAGCAAUCGUUGGCAUAUUCCACCAGUACGCUUCAGGAGACGGGGAUUCAAAGACACUUAGCAAAGGAGAGUUCGAUAAACUCGUCAAGGAGCAGUUCCCCAACUUAAUUCCUGAUGAAUGUGCGUCAAAGCUCAAAAAAGAAAUCCACAAGAUUGCCGGCGAUACCAUUGACUUCCAGGAGUUCAUGCAACUAGUAUCCGUGCUUUGCACGAUGUCCCACUGCAUGUUGCUGGAAUCCUUAGGAGGCAAAUAGCCUGUAAAACAAAGCUCUGAUUGGCUGCCAAUUUACAGCGCUGACGCUGUUACAACAGAGGUGCCUGAACUCAAACCUGCAUUAUAAAUCUGGCUGAAACACAAACCAAUGUUGUUUCCCAAUAAACAUUUUACUGUUUAAAA